CCUACGGGUGGCAGCAGUGGGGGAUAUUGCACAAUGGGGGAAACCCUGAUGCAGCGACGCCGCGUGUGGGAAGACGGUCCUCUGGAUUGUAAACCACUGUCCCCAGGGACGAAGAUGACGGUACCUGGGGCGGAAGCUCCGGCUAAGUACGUGCCAGCAGCCGCGGUAAUACGAUGGGAGCGAGCGUUGUCCGGAAUUACUGGUGGUAAAGGGAGCGUAGGCGGGGAUGCAAGUUGGGUGUCAAAACUACCGGCUCAACUGGUAGUCGCACUCAAAACUGCAGCUCUUGAGUGAAGUAGAGGCAGGCGGAAUUCCUAGUGUAGCGGUGAAAUGCGUAGAUAUUAGGAGGAACACCAGUGGCGAAGGCGGCCUGCUGGGCUUUUACUGACGCUGAGGCUCGAAAGUGUGGGGAGCAAACAGGAUUAGAUACCCCUGUAGUC
rnacentral:rRNA from 1 species